AUCAAUUACUGAGGUGGUUAAUUGUUGGAUAAUUAAUUACCGAGGCGUUUAAUUGUUGGAUAAUUAAUUACCGAGGCGGUUAAUUGGUAGUUAAUUAAUUACCGAGGCGGUUAAUUGAUGGAUAAUUAAUUACCGAGGCGGUUAAUUGGUUCGGGUUCGGGUUCGGGUGGUUAAUUAAUUAAUUAAUCAAUUGGAUGUUAAUUAAUGAAUUGCCGCAGGCUCUCGGCCGCUCUCAGCGCUGAGGCCAAGGAGGAAAAUCGGAGACCGGUGAACGUGCUCAGGGCGCACUCGGGCCCCGUUUACUCGCUGGCCUCGACCGAGCGGCUCCUCCUGAGCGGCGCCGACGGAGAAAUCCGGGCCUGGGGCUGGGCCGAGCUGGGCCGCAAGGGCUGUCGGGAGCUCUGGACCCGCCGCCCCCCCUGCAGG